AGUGGAGCAGAUGGAAACUGCACAUCAGUUCCUGUGAUUACAACAAGAAACACUCACCACCAGAGGACACCAGACUGACGCAGAGAGUUUUUCGAAGGAAGUCUGAUGACUCUGGGAGUGGAAUUGGAAGAGACACAAUCUCGAUGGUUCGUGUUUUCAUAAAUCACGUCUUCUGAUGCCGGACAGUGUCGGACUGCAGCGUAUUCACUGGUCAGCGAGGCAAGGCCCAUGAUCUCUCCUGACGGCGGGUCAGCGUUUGUGAAGUCGAUGGAGGAAUAAUGAAGAGAUUCAGGUGCACUCUGUGCAGUGGAUGACAGCAUGCCUUUAUUGGUGUAAACAGACUCACUCUCAUUAUCCAGAGAAACGGCCUGAUGGAGAAGAAACAGCAAAAUGAGUGAAGAUCUGCUGAACGACUGUCUGUAAUGUCUUUGAGAAUGAAUAACUCACUGUUUGAGUCAGAAUGAGUCCAGAUCUGUCGUCUUCUCUGGUUUCUGAAGGUUUUUCUUUCCUUCUUCUGAAAA